UACGGAGGUCCCAAGCGUUGUUCGGAAUUACUGGGCGUAAAGGGCGCGCAGGCGGACAGGUCAGUCUAAAGUGGAAUCCCGGGGCUCAACCUCGGAACUGCUUCGGAUACUGCCUGUCUUGAGUUCGUGAGAGGAAAGCGGAAUUCAGGGUGUAGCGGUGAAAUGCUUAGAUAUCCUGAGGAACACCGAUGGCGAAAGCAGCUUUCUGGCGCGAUACUGACGCUGAGGCUCGAAAGCGUGGGGAGCGAACGGG
rnacentral:rRNA from 1 species